rnacentral:rRNA from 1 species
UUGACCUCAAAUCAGGCGGGACUACCCGCUGAACUUAAGCAUAUCAAUAAGCGGAGGAAAAGAAACUAACAAGGAUUCCCCUAGUAACUGCGAGUGAAGCGGGAUGAGCUCAAAUUUAAAAUCUGGCGUCUUCGGCGUCCGAGUUGUAAUUUAGAGAAGUGUUUUCCGCGCCGGACCGUGUACAAGUCUCCUGGAACGGAGCGUCAUAGAGGGUGAGAAUCCCGUCUUUGACACGGACCCCCGGUGCUCUGUGAUACGCUCUCGAAGAGUCGAGUUGUUUGGGAAUGCAGCUCAAAAUGGGUGGUGAACUCCAUCUAAAGCUAAAUAUUGGCGAGAGACCGAUAGCGAACAAGUACCGUGAGGGAAAGAUGAAAAGCACUUUGGAAAGAGAGUGAAACAGUACGUGAAAUUGUUGAAAGGGAAACGCUUGAAGUCAGUCGCGUCCGCCAGGGUUCAGCCUCACGGUGUACUCUCUGGUGGACGGGCCAGCAUCACUUUCGAUCGUCGGACAAGGGAGUUGGGAAUGUGGCACCUCCGGGUGUGUUAUAGCCCUUCUUCGUAUACGGCGACCGGGAGUGAGGACCGCCUUUGUAGGAUGCUGGCGUAAUGGCUUUAAACGACCCGUCUUGAAACACGGACCAAGGAGUCUAACAUGCCCGCGAGUGUUCGGGUGGAAAACCCGUGCGCGUAAUGAAAGUGAAAGUUGGGAAGGCUGUCGCGGCCUGCAC